rnacentral:SRP_RNA from 2 species
GACGGAAGCCGGGCGGCGGCGACGCCGCCAACCCCGUCAGGUCCGAAAGGAAGCAGCGGUAACGGUUGUUGCCGGGUGUCCGGUUUCCAUCAAA